rnacentral:rRNA from 1 species
GAAGUAAAAGUCGUAACAAGGUCUCCGUAGGUGAACCUGCGGAGGGAUCAUUACACAAAUAUGAAGGCGGGCUGGAACCUCUCGGGGUUACAGCCUUGCUGAAUUAUUCACCCUUGUCUUUUGCGUACUUCUUGUUUCCUUGGUGGGUUCGCCCACCACUAGGACAAACAUAAACCUUUUGUAAUUGCAAUCAGCGUCAGUAACAAAUUAAUAAUUACAACUUUCAACAACGGAUCUCUUGGUUCUGGCAUCGAUGAAGAACGCAGCGAAAUGCGAUAAGUAGUGUGAAUUGCAGAAUUCAGUGAAUCAUCGAAUCUUUGAACGCACAUUGCGCCCUUUGGUAUUCCAAAGGGCAUGCCUGUUCGAGCGUCAUUUGUACCCUCAAGCUUUGCUUGGUGUUGGGCGUCUUGUCUCUAGCUUUGCUGGAGACUCGCCUUAAAGUAAUUGGCAGCCGGCCUACUGGUUUCGGAGCGCAGCACAAGUCGCACUCUCUAUCAGCAAAGGUCUAGCAUCCAUUAAGCCUUUUUUUCAACUUUUGACCUCGGAUCAGGUAGGGAUACCCGCUGAACUUAAGCAUAUCAAUAAGCGGAGGA